rnacentral:rRNA from 1 species
UUCGCCCUUUUCCGGUUGAUCCCGCCGGACCUUACUGCUAUCGGGGUGGGACUAAGACAUGCGAGUCGGGCGUCUCUAGCUAUGUUGAGACGCGGCAGACGGCUCAGUAACACGUGGCUAACCUACCCUCAGGACGGGGAUAAACCCGGGAAACUGGGGCUAAUAUCCGAUAGGUGAGGAAUCCUGGAAUGGUUUCUCACCCAAAGGGCAUUGGAAACAUGCUUUCUUUGUCGCCUGGGGAUGGGGCCGCGACCGAUCAGGUUGUUGGUGAGGUAAUGGCUCACCAAGCCUAUAACCGGUACGGGCCGUGAGAGCGGUAGCCCAGAGAUGGGUACCGAGACAAGGACCCAGGCCCUACGGGGCGCAGCAGUCGCGAAAACUCCGCAAUGCACGAAAGUGUGACGGGGCUACCCCGAGUGCCUUCCGCUGAGGAAGGCUUUUCUUUGGUGUAACUAGCCAUGGGAAUAAGGAGAGGGCAAGACUGGUGUCAGCCGCCGCGGUAAUACCAGCUCUCCGAGUGGUAGGGAUGAUUAUUGGGCUUAAAGCGUCCGUAGCCUGCUUAGCAAGUUUCCUGUUAAAUUCAGCGACCUAAUCGUUGAGCCGCGGGAAAUACUACUAGGCUAGGAGGCGGGAGAGGUCGACGGUACUUCUGGGGUAGGGGUGAAAUCCUAUAAUCCCGGGAGGACCACCAGUAGCGAAGGCUGUCGACUAGAACGCGCUCGACGGUGAGGGACGAAAGCUGGGGGAGCGAACCGGAU